rnacentral:tRNA from 1 species
AUUUAUAUAGUUUAAAUAAAACAUUACAUUUUCAUUGUAAAAUUAAAAUCUUUAUUUUUUAUAAAUA